CUUCUGCACAGAUGGGUGGCAGUCGGUGGCAAUGAUGGAGAUGUGCACACCAUACUCUGUGAGCUUGGACAGACACCUCUCCAGACCCUUGACCUUCAACCAGUAGCUGCUCCGGACUUCUGUGACCUUGACAAUCUCCUGUGCCACCAACAAGUGUGACUUUGUAUCCAGAAGGUUUGCAGACCAACAGCUUCACAGAUCUCAAGAAAUGGAGUGCACUCAUUGCCAGUGGCAAAAGUAGCUGCUGGGAUAGAGAGGUUACACUCCAUCAUUCCUCUGACCAGAGGCUGUGAGCUGAAGAGGACAGUUUCCUCAUCACUCAACUCAGGUGGUGGGGGUGGCGAUGAAGGCCUGCAGUGAACAGCUUUGCUGUAGCAAUGAUCAUGGGGAAUGAC